rnacentral:tRNA from 1 species
GAGUUCUUAGCUCAGUGGUUAGAGCGCCGUGGGAGUUAAUUACACGGAGGUGAUGAGUUCGAUCAUCAUACACGUCA